CCUGGAAGACAGUGUAGAUGAGAGGUAAAAUGAGGCACUAGAACAUUUGUUUCACAGUGGAGAUGCACAACAACUGUCCCUACACACACCAGGUCCACAGGCGUUUCAUUCAGCAGCAGUUGCCACGUCCCAAAACUACUGCAGCCAUGUCCUGGAUGUUUGUUUGAGGUUACCCCAUCUCUGUUCUCACACACUAGACUGACCAGUGGAUUCUUAUUCAGCUCCCUGACCGAGGCCCUUCAACCAGAUGGCCAGCUCUGGAGUCCUGGUGAGUCGAAUUUCCUCCAUUCCACCGUGCUCCAGGGAGCACUUGGAGCUUAUAAAUGAUUUAUGAGCAAACCCUUGCCCUGUCUAUGCCUGGUAACUAUUUAAUCACAGAGGACCUUGUGGCUUGGUUUUCGUCCUCACAUCCACCCCGAAUUUAAAUUUUAUUCGCAAUAAUAAAAGGACUCUAGUUAUGUGUCAUUUAUAGAUACCUUAUAAGUCAAGGAAACAACUGUGACUUCUACUAUUAAUCAGCAUAUGUCUGCAGACAUAUGAGCUGUUAGUCAUAACAAUACUGAGUAGGACUGUAGCUGCAAGAGACUUGGCACAAUCUAAAGGUUAAUGUUUAAAGGCAUCACUAACCAGAUCCUGUAUUUUAGCAACAAUAUAAACUUGAGAAGAACCAUAAAAGACUUGGUGCACCUGCAAACAUCAUGACGUGCUGCAAGUUGGCUCCGAUCUUGUUUUUACGGCCCAAGUUGAGCAGGAAAGACAAAGGGUAGAUGUUUGCGGCUCUGCCCAGAAACACUGCCACCUACAGCGUGCAGCGGGUCAAGGAAAGAGAAGACUGAGAAUACAACAAACAGGAAACUAAGGCGUUCUAGAUAUAGCAGAAGAACAUGUAACAAACUGCAGCUACAACAGGAGGCCUCAGCCAACAGGAAGGUGCUCCAGGACAUGAGGAAAAACAAAGCAGUCUCCAGCAAGGAGAAGUCCCUGAGCUUGGUGAACUUGGUCACGUGACAACACCUGAUAGUCAAGGAGCAAAACAACAACAUCC